CUAUAGGUGCCACCACGCCCAGUUUAUGAGGUACUAGGGAGAGAACACAGUGUUCCAGGUGUUCUAAGCAAGCCCUGAACCAGCUGAGCCAUGAAUACAGCGCUCUGUGUGUUCUAAGCAAGCCCUGAACCAGCUGAGCCAUGAAUCCAGCGCUCCGUGUGUUCUAAGCAAGCCCUGAACCAGCUGAGCCAUGAAUACAGUGUUCUGUGUGUUCUAAGCAAGCCCUGAACCAGCUGAGGCACAUUCCCAGCUCACUGGCUCCUAUAUUCAGAGGCUUCAGUCCUUGUGCACUUGGCUGUGUUGCUUCUGGACAUAUAAGGUGGCUACGUGCACACAAGAGCAGUGCCCAUGGAGGCCGGAAGAGGGCAUUGGAUAGACACACUGGAGCCAGAGUUACAAGCAGUG
rnacentral:lncRNA from 1 species